rnacentral:rRNA from 1 species
CCUACGGGAGGCAGCAGUGAGGAAUUUUGCGCAAUGGGGGAAACCCUGACGCAGCAACGCCGCGUGAGUGAUGAAGGCCUUCGGGUCGUAAAGCUCUGUCAAGUGGGAAGAACCUGCUCUGUGAUAACACCAUGGGGCACCGACGGUACCACUGAAGGAAGCACCGGCUAACUCCGUGCCAGCAGCCGCGGUAAUACGGGGGGUGCUAGCGUUAUUCGGAAUCAUUGGGCGUAAAGGGCGCGUAGGCGGUCUUUUAAGUCAGAUGUGAAAGCCCUCGGCUUAACCGAGGAAGUGCAUUUGAUACUAAGAGACUUGAGUAUGGGAGAGGGAAGCGGAAUUCCUGGUGUAGCGGUGAAAUGCGUAGAUAUCAGGAGGAACACCGGUGGCGAAGGCGGCUUCCUGGACCAAUACUGACGCUGAGGCGCGAAGGCGUGGGGAGCAAACAGGAUUAGAUACCCUGGUAGUCCACGCAGUAAACGGUGAACACUAGGUGUAGCGGGUAUUGACCCCUGCUGUGCCGAAGCUAACGCAUUAAGUGUUCCGCCUGGGAAGUACGGCCGCAAGGUUAAAACUCAAAGGAAUUGACGG